GUUCAUGUGAUGAUUGUUCUGUUCAACUGCUGAGUGAUUCAGAAAUGAACUAAACUAACAUUCUGACCUGA